rnacentral:lncRNA from 1 species
GCUUCCUGGAACAGGGCUCAUGAACAAAUCUGUUUUCAAUUGAAUCUGAUAUUAGGCUAAGGGUUUGGCUUGGUGAUAGAGUGCCUAGUUUGGGUGCCUAGUAUGAUCAGCCCUCUGUACCUCCAAGAUUAUUUUAAAAAGACAAAAGAAACCUUUGCAAACAGAGAAACUUGAAAUGAGAUAUGAUUCCUCAGGAGUCAGUGCAGUGCAGGAGUGGAUCUGGUAACUUUAACUACAGCUCUGGAGAUCUUCAAUGAGCACGACUUGCAGGCCAGUGAACAUGUAAUGGAUGUGGUGGAGGUCAUUCACUGCUUGACUGCCUUGUAUGAACGACUGGAGGAGGAAAGAGGCAUCCUGGUCAACGUGCCGCUGUGUGUAGACAUGA